GGAAUAUUGGGCAAUGGAGGGAACUCUGACCCAGCGACGCCGCGUGCGGGAUGAAGGCCUUCGGGUUGUAAACCGCUUUCAGCAAGGAAGAAGCGAAAGUGACGGUACUUGCAGAAGGAGCACCGGCUAACUAUGUGCCAGCAGCCGCGGUAAUACAUAGGGUGCAAGCGUUGUCCGGAAUUAUUGGGCGUAAAGAGCUCGUAGGUGGUUCGUCACGUCGGAUGUGAAAAUCUGGGGCUUAACCCCAGACCUGCAUUCGAUACGGGCGAGCUAGAGUGUGGUAGGGGAGACUGGAAUUCCUGGUGUAGCGGUGGAAUGCGCAGAUAUCAGGAGGAACACCAAUGGCGAAGGCAGGUCUCUGGGCCAUUACUGACACUGAGGAGCGAAAGCGUGGGGAGCGAACAGGAUUAGAUACCCUGGUAGUCCACGCCGUAAGCGGUGGGCACUAGUUGUGGGAACCUUCCACGGUUUCUGCGACGCAGCUAACGCAUUAAGUGCCCCGCCUGGGGAGUACGAUCGCAAGAUUAAAACUCAAAUGAAUUGACGG
rnacentral:rRNA from 1 species